rnacentral:rRNA from 1 species
CAAAUCUCUUAAAGCCGUUCUCAGUUCGGAUUGUAGGCUGCAACUCGCCUACAUGAAGUCGGAAUCGCUAGUAAUCGCGGAUCAGCAUGCCGCGGUGAAUACGUUCCCGGGCCUUGUACACACCGCCCGUCACACCAUGAGAGUUUGUAACACCCAAAGCCGGUGGGGUAACCUUUUGGAGCCAGCCGUCUAAGGUGGGACAGAUGAUUGGGGUGAAGUCGUAACAAGGUACC